rnacentral:rRNA from 1 species
UACGUAGGGCGCAAGCGUUGUCCGGAAUUAUUGGGCGUAAAGAGCUCGUAGGCGGUCCGUUGCGUCUGCCGUGAAAACCCGAGGCUUAACCUCGGGCCUGCGGUGGAUACGGGCGGACUAGAGGUAGGUAGGGGAGAACGGAAUUCCCGGUGUAGCGGUGAAAUGCGCAGAUAUCGGGAGGAACACCGGUGGCGAAGGCGGUUCUCUGGGCCUUACCUGACGCUGAGGAGCGAAAGCGUGGGGAGCGAACAGG